AUGAACCUUGUCUCCAUACAAAAACUUACAAAUGAUUUAUUCUGUAGUGUUACUUUUCAUAGUGAUUGUUGUAUAUAUCAGGAUAAGGAGUCGGGAAAGACAAUUGGACGUGCUAGAGAAAAGAAUGGCCUUUACUAUCUUGAAGAAUCAAAUCAGUGUACAAAAGGUCAUUUGUCCCACUCAUUUAUGUCAGAGUCAAUACUCUCUAAAAAGGAAAAAAUAUUUCUUUUUCACUGUUGA